GUUGUUUAUUUUUAAUAAUAGAUAUAAUUCGACAUCACUUGUUAUAUUUUGCUAGCCAAUCAAGUUUGUUUCGAAUUUUGACAAGCCAAUUUUUGCCCCCGAAAAUCAACAAAAAUCGAAUAGAAAACAUAAUUUUGACACUAGAGUCGCGAUACUUCUUCGAUACUGGAAUUUAUGUGGCUGUCAAAUCAGUAGUUCCUCAUUCGAAACAGCUUUCGGGUACUUGGAAUUUUCUCAACAUUCAAUUUCACUGAUUUUUGUGUUUGUG